UGGGGAUACUGCGGGCCUUGGGACCGGGAGAGGCGGAGGGUACUCCUGGGGUAGGGGUNAAAUCCUNUAAUCCCAGGAGGACCGCCAGUGGCGAAGGCGCUCCGCUNGAACGGGUCCGACGGUGAGGGACGAANGCCAGGGGAUCAAACCGGAUUAAAUACCCGGGUAGUCCUGGCUANNAANCAUGCGGGCUAGGUGUCGNGCGAGCUUCGGGCUCGCCCGGUGCCGAAGGGAAGCCGUUAAGCCCGCCGC
rnacentral:rRNA from 1 species